AAACAUGGCUCUUUGUUGGAUUAUAUAAAGAGUCUAACCUGCCCGGUGGUAGACACUAAACGGCUGCAGUACCCUGACUGUACAAAGGUAGCAUAAUAAUUUGCCUUUUAAUUGGAGGCUAGUAUGAAAGGUUGGAUGAAAGUAGAGCUGUCUCUUUUAUUUUGAUUAAAAAUUAUUUUUCAAGUUAAAAAGCUUGAAUUUUAUUAAAGGACGAGAAGACCCUAUCGAGCUUGUAAAUAUUUUUUAAGUGUUAAUUAUUAUGAAGAUAUGUGCUUAAUUAAUUGUUUUUAGUUGGGGCAACUACGGGACAUUAAAAACUCCCGUUGGAUUAUUUUUAUCUAAAUAGAUCCGACCUUGUCGAAUGGUGACUUAGUUACCGUAGGGAUAACAGCGUAAUUUUUUCUUAAGAGACCUCAUCGACAGAAAAGAUUGCGACCUCGAUGUUGGAUUAGAAUAUACUUUAAGGCGCAGGGGCUUUAUAAAGUUAGUCUGUUCGACUAUUAAAUUUCUACGUGAUCUGAGUUCAGACCGGA
rnacentral:rRNA from 1 species